rnacentral:rRNA from 1 species
GUAAGUCCCGCAACGAGCGCAACCCCUACGUUUAGUUGCUAACGCGUGAAGGCGAGCACUCUAGACGAACUGCCGUUGACAAAACGGAGGAAGGUGGGAUGACGUCAAAGUCAUCAUGCCCCUUAUGUUCUGGGCUACACACGUGCUACAAUGGCCGGUACAGACGGACGCAAAGCCGCGAGGCGGAGCAAAUCCGAAAAAGCCGGUCUCAGUUCGGAUUGCAGGCUGCAAUUCGCCUGCAUGAAGUCGGAAUCGCUAGUAAUCGCAGGUCAGCAUACUGCGGUGAAUACGUUCCCGGGCCUU